UACAGAGACUGCAAGCGUUAUUCGGAUUCACUGGGCGUAAAGGGUGCGCAGGCGGUUGUGUGUGUCAGGUGUGAAAGCCCGGGGCUUAACCCCGGAAUUGCGCCUGAAACUACAUGACUAGAGCAUUGGAGAGGGUAGCAGAAUUCACGGUGUAGCAGUGAAAUGCGUAGAUAUCGUGAGGAACACCAGAGGCGAAGGCGGCUACCUGGACAAUUGCUGACGCUCAGGCACGAAAGCGUGGGGAGCAAAAGGG
rnacentral:rRNA from 1 species